rnacentral:rRNA from 1 species
UACGUAGGGUGCAAGCGUUGUCCGGAAUUAUUGGGCGUAAAGAGCGUGUAGGCGGCCAGGUAGGUCUGCUGUGAAAACUCGAGGCUUAACCUCGAGCUGUCGGCGGAAACCAUCUGGCUAGAGUCCGGAAGAGGAGAAUGGAAUUCCCGGUGUAGCGGUGAAAUGCGCAGAUAUCGGGAAGAACACCCGUGGCGAAGGCGGUUCUCUGGGACGGUACUGACGCUGAGACGCGAAAGCGUGGGGAGCGAACGGG